rnacentral:lncRNA from 1 species
GGAAACUUGGCGAGCGUGAGCAUUAUUUUUGCAAAACAUUUUGUGUGUUUUGGCCACUACUUGUCUGCUCUGGCGCUUGUUUUCAGCAAUAGUAUCUUUUAUACUUUAGGUGCGUUGUUGUAGGAGCCUGUUGUCUAAUAUUUAUUCUUUAUACUCUAAAGAAUAAUAUUGUUUCUGAUGAGUUUCCUCCUGUGACACUGAAGUGAGGAUCAUAUUGUUAAUCAUGCUGGGUGUUGUUCUGUUUUUGUUUGAGCUUUGAUGAACAGGUCGUGGCCCCCUGAGGGCGGAACUUCCCACAUUGUGCCCUUUUUAGGAACAUGCUCUGCAGAAGGAGCCUGAUCUGCCAACAUGGGUUCUCUUGUUGACUGGUCAAUAAUGUGAAUGGGGAGGAGUUGGGAAUAGUCAUCUGUUUAAUAUGUCUUUGGGAGCCUCUCAGGAUAUAAAUGUAACCAGCAUGCAGCAUUCCCCUGCAGUCACACACAGACGAACGUGAAGUGUCUUGUCCAACGACAACCUUUCAAUAAGACGACCUGCUCUACCAUUGUUGCUCAAUACAAUGGCUGCAAUGACCCAAACAACCACCAGGUGGCACUCGUGAGCUCUUUCUUCUCUCUUCACCGCCUGGUACACGCGGAUAAUGGAGCAUAAAGAUAAUGAGAUGUUCUCGCGGGUGCGUCUGAGCCUCCUGCCCAGCGUUCGCUGCAUGUUCGACGACCUGCUGAAGAUCCGAGUGACGGGGCUGAGCUCGCAGCAGGACGUGGUGCUGAGGGCCAGCGCCACAGACGAGAAGGGCUCCAACUUCAGCUCCUGGCAGAGUUCAGGGCGGACCACAGCGGACAGGUCGACGUGUCACGGGACGCCCCCAUCAGCGGCU